AUUGAACGCUGGCGGCAUGUCUUACACAUGCAAGUCGAACGGUAACAGGUCCUCGGGUGCUGACGAGUGGCGAACGGGUGAGUAAUACAUCGGAACGUGCCUAGUAGUGGGGGAUAACUACUCGAAAGAGUGGCUAAUACCGCAUGAGAUCUACGGAUGAAAGCAGGGGAUCGCAAGACCUUGUGCUACUAGAGCGGCCGAUGGCAGAUGAGGUAGUUGGUGGGAUAAAAGCUUACCAAGCCGACGAUCUGUAGCUGGGUGGAGAGGACGAUCAGCCACACUGGGACUGAGACACGGCCCAGACUCCUACGGGAGGCAGCAGUGGGGAAUUUUGGACAAUGGGCGCAAGCCUGAUCCAGCAAUGCCGCGUGCAGGAUGAAGGCCUUCGGGUUGUAAACUGCUUUUGUACGGAGCGAAAAGCCCCGGGUUAAUACCCUGGGGUCAUGACGGUACCGUAAGAAUAAGCACCGGCUAACUACGUGCCAGCCGCCGCGGUAA
rnacentral:rRNA from 1 species